CAACUUUCAGCAGUGGAUGUCUAGGCUCGCACAUCGAUGAACAACGCUGCCAACUGGGAUACGUAAUGCGAAUUGCAGGAUUCAGUGAGUCAUCGAAAUUUUGAACGCAUAUUGCACUUCCGGGUUAGUCCUGGAAGUAUGCCUGUAUCAGUGUCCGUA
rnacentral:rRNA from 2 species